CACACACACACACACACACACACACACACACACACACACACAGAGAACACCAUGUGAAGAUGAAGGCAGAGGCAGAGAUGGGGAUAUUAAUGCUGAGAAAAAACUAACUUUAGUGCAACACACAGAAACAGCAUCAACUAUAAAGUUCUGGACAAAGAAAAAUGUAAUUUCUCCCACACCGAAGCCUUGGUUCCACUCAGGAUUGGGCAUCAUCAUAGACUUACCUCCUUGGAAGAGGAGAAGAGCUACUUAGUAACUCUCUUGAGAAAAAUCUCAGAUACCCUAAUCUGUUUUACGAGUCACACUUGCUGUACCUGCCAUGGUUUGAACAUAUCUCAAGUAGAUAUGAUUUUGGAACGGAAUUUCAAAAACUCAGCUUUCCAAUAGAGCUUCCCAUCACAUUUUAUAGGAGUAAAAUGUGGCCACCAAACCUCAACUCAUUAUCCAGGGA
rnacentral:lncRNA from 1 species